rnacentral:lncRNA from 1 species
GUACAAUUGCUGUAUGAGCAAAUUAGGUCAGAUGCAGACCCUACCUUAACAUCGACUGCUCCUCAGCUCCAAGACCUUUCGAGCAGUUGCCCUCAGGAGGAGAUCUCUCAGCGGCAGGAAAGUGUCUCCGCCCUCUCUGCCAGCAUGCACCCUCAGCUUUCACCACAGCGAAGCUUGGAAACCCCGUACCUGCAGCACCGACUCCAGAAGCCCAGUCUUCUGCCAAAGGCCCAGAAUGCUUGUCCGAUGUAUUGUAAAGAACCACCUCGAAGCCUGGAACAGCAGCUACAGGAACACAGGCUCCAACAGAAGCGACUCUUCCUGCAGAAGCAGUCUCAGCUGCAAGCGUAUUUUAAUCAGAUGCAGAUAGCAGAGCGCUCCUACCCUGGACCAACUCAGCAGCUGGCUCUUCCCCACCCGGAGACUGCACCGACACCUCAGCAGCCCCCAUCCUUCAGCCUGACCCAGGCCCUCAGCCCUGUCCUGGAACCCUCUUCUGAGCAGAUGCGAUUUAGCUCUUU